rnacentral:rRNA from 1 species
UACAGAGGUCCCGAGCGUUGUUCGGAUUCAUUGGGCGUAAAGGGUGCGUAGGCGGCGGGGCCAGUCUGAUGUGAAAUCCCGGGGCUCAACCCCGGAACUGCAUUGGAUACUGCCUUGCUAGAGUACUGGAGAGGGAACUGGAAUUUACGGUGUAGCAGUGAAAUGCGUAGAGAUCGUAAGGAAGGCCAGUGGCGAAGGCGGCUCACUGGCCCGGUACUGACGCUGAGGUGCGAAAGCGUGGGGAGCAAACAGG